AACGAACGCUGGCGGCAGGCUUAACACAUGCAAGCCGAGCGCGUAGCAAUACGAGCGGCAGACGGGUGAGUAACACGUGGGGAUCUGCCCGAUGGUACGGAAUAACUCAGGGAAACUUGUGCUAAUACCGUAUGUGACCGCAAGGGGAAAGAUUUAUCGCCAUCGGAUGAACCCGCGUCAGAUUAGCUAGUUGGUGUGGUAAAGGGGCACCGAGGCGACGAUCUGUAGCGGGUCUGAGAGGAUGAUCAGCCACACUGGGACUGAGACACGGCCCAGACUCCUACGGGAGGCAGCAGUGGGGAAUAUUGGACAAUGGGCGCAAGCCUGAUCCAGCCAUGCCGCGUGAGUGAUGAAGGCCUUAGGGUUGUAAAGCUCUUUCGCCGACGAAGAUAAUGACGGUAGUCGGAGAAGAAGCCCCGGCUAACUUCGUGCCAGCCGCCGCCGUAACAC
rnacentral:rRNA from 1 species